UAUGUGUCAAAACCAAAAUUAUCGGGCUGACAUCAACUAAUUUGACUAAUUAACAGCUCAAUAACAUUUUGCUAAACAACUCCCAAAUUGCCCAAUUAGCUGCCUAACGUUUACCGGCAACAAAUCAAAGUAGAGAGUUUGAAGCGGGUUGGAAAAGCAGAAAUCAUAUAGUCGCAAAAUCGGAUAUUAGCUCUGCGUGACUUGCACAAAAGGGUCACCUGGCCAGGCGGGUUAAACAGACGCUGUUGCAUUCACGAAAGUUAAAUGUGCCAUAUACUUUGUUACUUCUGCAUAUUCUGGUGCCGCUAGGAAUCCAUCUGAAGUCGGGAAGGCCAAACCACAGCUAGCUCAAAUCCCACGUGGCUGACUAUGGUGUAUUUAUUUUGGAGACUUUGAAAACUUGUUGAGGGCGUGGCCACCCCUAGACGCCCACUUCAACGGCACAGUGUGCGUCUUUUUGUGCACGUGAGCGUGUCCCAUAGUUGUUGAUGUCAUUGUCACGUAUGAAGUGCCAUCGACUGACACAAAUGAAGUGGCAGCUAUUAGCUUUAAAGCGAACCAACAACGAUGUUGCUUCCUAGGCAUGAAUAUACCCUUACACACACACAGCAGUCAAGCGGGCUAGGGUUCAAGUGUGUUUUGGUCAUGCUGGAGAUAAUCUCGAAAUAUAAUUGAAACUUUUAUUAAUAGCGCUAAA